rnacentral:rRNA from 1 species
AUACGUAUGUCCCGAGCGUUAUCCGGAUUUAUUGGGCGUAAAGCGAGCGCAGACGGUUGAUUAAGUCUGACGUGAAAGCCCGGAGCUCAACUCCGGAAAGGCAUUGGAAACUGGUCAACUUGAGUGCAGUAGAGGUAAGUGGAACUCCAUGUGUAGCGGUGGAAUGCGUAGAUAUAUGGAAGAACACCAGCGGCGAAGGCGGCUUACUGGACUGUAACUGACGUUGAGGCUCGAAAGUGUGGGUAGCAAACAGGAUUAGAUACCCUGGUAGUCCACACCGUAAACGAUGAACACUAGGUGUUAGGAGGUUUCCGCCUCUUAGUGCCGAAGCUAACGCAUUAAGUGUUCCGCCUGGGGAGUACGACCGCAAGGUUGAA